CCUCCCUGGAUGUGACUAAGAUACUCCCUCCACCACUCAGACCUCCCUGGAUGUGACUAAGAUACUCCCUCCUCCCUCCACCACUCAGUCUAGAAGUGUCGGGACAAGUUGUAGUCUUUCAAAACAGUGAUGCUCUCUUUGCACACUGAGCAUACAGCUUUCCCUGAUACAUCAAUAAAUACAUAUUUCGAUGUCCACUCUUCCUGGAACACCCUACAAUCAUUGUCUACUUUCCUUUCCUUUUAAAUCUUUGGAAAACGUAUUUUUAGCAACAGUUUCUUGCUAGCUACUAUUUGUAACUGAUACUCCCUCCUUUGUGUAUGUCAGCCUGUCAGUUGUUAUUUAUACGGGCCUUCAUAAUAAAUGUCCCACAAGUGGUGGGAGUUAAAUCAUUACACAAAGGUGAGUUAUUCAUUGGGCUUUUAAUUUGAAUAACAAACACAUUUUUUUUUUUCAACUUUACUAUCGCAAAUUCUUUACGUGAUCUGAGCAUGAUUCCGCGGGCCGUAUUGAAUCAGGUCGCUGGCCAGGCCUCAUCUACCUUGUUGGUCUAUCUGUGGUAGUGUACAAAUAGAUGUAGUUCACCUGUUGUCCAGCGGGGGCCGUGUUGCUACAGUCAUCUCUCCUGUAGGUUAGUUCAUGAUGACAAACAGACAGAUGAUUUCCCCUGGUGAAUACUGAAUAUAUUCCUCUGCUGUUGAACAAUACAAUGAUGGUCGACGCUUCUGUUAACUUCUCCAUCCUACUGCUCCUGUUGCCAGUUUUGAACAGCAGCAGAAUCUCCCAGACGCCUGAGGCAGUAAUAGUGAGGCCGAAAAUAAGCAGUAGUCUCAGCUGUAGCCACAACACCUCAAACGUGUUCUACAUGUACUGGUACAGACGACCAGCACAGAGCAGAGCCCUCACACUAGUUGGCUACCUGUACUCAGGCACAGCCAACCUAGAGACAGACUUUACCAACGAUCGCUUCAGUCUCCAAGGAAACGCAGGUAGUCGUGGAGACCUGCAGAUAUCCAAUCCUACCACAGAGGACUCUGGGGAGUAUUUCUGUGCGACCAGAGAAGCACACUGCUCUAGAUCCUCCUCCUUCCUUUACAAAAACCCCUCUCUCUGGUACAUCACACUGCUCUAGAUUCUCCUUUACAAAACCCCUCUCUCUGGUACAUACAAACAGUCUUUGACUGGCAAUGAGAACUUACUACACUACAAGGUGUAAAUGUUUUGGGAUUUCCUUGGUUAUUAAAUGUGUUCUUGUACUGGGUUUAGGGUCUAUUCACAUUAUGUUAAGGAACGAAGUAGGCACAGAAGUUAGGGAUGAUGUCAUUUCCUGCCCAUUCUCUCUCCUCAGACAUGUCAGUGUGUUUGUGAUUUGUCACCUGUCAUCUCUCCACCAC